UACGUAGGGGGCGAGCGUUGUCCGGAUUCAUUGGGCGUAAAGCGCGGGCAGGCGGCCCGCUCAGUCGGCCGUGAAAGCGCCGGGCUCAACUCGGCGCGGUCGGGCGAUACUGGCGGGCUGGAGGCUGGUAGAGGGCGGUGGAAUUCCGGGUGUAGUGGUGGAAUGCGUAGAGCUCCGGAGGAACACCAGUGGCGAAGGCGGCCGCCUGGGCCGAGAUUGACGCUGAUGCGCGAAAGCCAGGGGAGCAAACGGG
rnacentral:rRNA from 1 species